GAUGAAGAACGUAGCGAAAUGCGAUACGUAAUGUGAAUUGCAGAAUUCAGUGAAUCAUCGAAUCUUUGAACGCAUAUUGCGCUCUCUGGUAUUCCGGAGAGCAUGCUUGUUUGAGUAUCAGUAAACGCCUCAACUUCCAUAUCUUUUUUGAAAUGGGAGUUGGACUUGAGUGAUCCCAACGCUUUUCCUCACCGAAAAGUGGCGGGUUACUUGAAAUGCAGGUGCAGCUGGACUUUUCUCUGAGCUAUAAGCAUAUCUAUUUAGUCUGCCUAAAAAACAGAUUAUUACCUUUGCUGCAGCUAACAUAAAGGAGAUUAGUUCUUGUGCUGACUGAUGCAGGAUUCACAAAGACAGGCUUCGGCCGACUUUGUAAACUCGAUCUCAAAUCAAGUAAGACUACCCGCUGAACUUAAGCAUAUCAAUAAGCGGAGGA
rnacentral:misc_RNA from 1 species